rnacentral:rRNA from 1 species
AUUGAACGCUGGCGGCAGGCUUAACACAUGCAAGUCGAGCGGGGGAAGGUAGCUUGCUACUGGACCUAGCGGCGGACGGGUGAGUAAUGCUUAGGAAUCUGCCUAUUAGUGGGGGACAACAUCUCGAAAGGGAUGCUAAUACCGCAUACGUCGUACGGGAGAAAGCAGGGGGAUCACUUGUGACCUUUCGCUAACAGAUGAGCCUAAGUCGGAUUAGCUAGUUGGUGGGGUAAAGGCCAACCAAGGCGAAGAUCUGUAGCGGGUCUGAGAGGAUGAUCCGCCACACUGGGACUGAGACACGGCCCAGACUCCUACGGGAGGCAGCAGUGGGGAAUAUUGGACAAUGGGGGGAACCCUGAUCCAGCCAUGCCGCGUGUGUGAAGAAGGCCUUUUGGUUGUAAAGCACUUUAAGCGAGGAGGAGGCUUACCUGGUUAAUACCUGGGAUAAGUGGACGUUACUCGCAGAAUAAGCACCGGCUAACUCUGUGCCAGCAGCCGCGGUAA